UCAAGAGCGUAUAUAGUGUGCAGCACAAUUUCUCUUUUUUAAGCGGCGAAGAUCUAGAAUCAAUCAAAUAUACGCCAUUUAAAUGAAAUAAAGACAUCAUAAAUACUAUUUAUCCAAAAAUCCAACGUUUAAAUCCACAGUAACCAAAGUUAUACGAAUUUAAGUUUCAAAACCACACCGUAAUGGCGAUGGCGACCAAUUAUUAAUAACUGUUAGCUGCACACACAUUCUAGACUUCGCCGCAUCCCGUAGUCCAAAUCCUUGGAAUGUUGUAGAGCAUCCUAAUGACACCUGUAACUUGACUUUGUUUCCAACAGCCUUCCAGACGCUUUAGAUGUUGUAGUGCUAAGAGGAUUUCAUCCUAAAUAGACCUGUCUUCGUGGGAAUACCAGUGUGGAAGAUAAGAUAAGCUUUUAGUUUAUUUUUUUUUGUUGUUAAAGUAAAGUCAAGUUGCUUCUCAUUCCUAACUAUAAUAUAAUAACCUGUAAACUUUUUGUGUGCACAUAAUUAGGUACAUUUUUGACUAGUUUUUGUAAUUAAUAGGGGGGUGCUAGUUGUUUUUUUUUUUAAUAAAAUAGGAUUUCAAAUACAUAUUAAAUACAUAAGGGAUAAUAAUAAUUGAGAAUAAAUCAAGUUUUUAAAAUUUAAUAGAGAAGAGAAAUAGGCGUAUUAAAGGGUUAUUAACAAGAGUAAUUUUCAAAGUUAAAAGGGUUUUUACAAACGAAAUUUAAUUAAAAGAGUUUCUGACCGACUCAUAUCUAGCGUUUUCUGUAUAUCUCCAGUAUCUAUGUUGUAAGUAUACUACGAGCACAUAGAUCUGGAACGUUAGCUACUUGGACACUUGUCAGUCCCAGGACCAUUAUUUAUAUACUAACAUUUGGCUAUUCUCCCGGACUUGAUUAUUGAAUCUUACUAAUAUUUGUUUACUUGGCACAAUAGUGGUGAUUUUUGCUAUUUGUUAGUGGUCUUUUGGCCGUAUCUAUUUCUACACCACUAUUGUUUAUAUUACUGUAGGCUGUUACAUACAGUGCUAGUCAAAAGUCCGUACCCCCCUCGUAUCUUUUGAACGGUUAUACCUAUAAUAGUGAAAUUUGGAGGAAGGAAAUAAACGGACGUAGGCUUCUUAGCUAGUCAUGACAGGUGACGUAAUAGUGACAGAUGACUUUACAGCGCCACUGUGACAGAUAAUUUUAAAUGGGAUCUUAUGGCAAGUAAUACCUCGUUUGAAAGAUAUUCAAAAUACCUAUUCAGCCAUACUAAUUUUUUCGGAUAUAAAUUGAUUUUGAUUUUGGUAAAUAAAUGAAAUAAAUGUAAAAUUGUAGUUUCGCAUUUAAUUAAUAAAAAUUCAAAUGUCCGCCUAUGGUUUUUUUGUCAAAAAAGUUCACGUUUUUCAGUUCUCUAAUAGUUUUUACGUCAACGUCAACCCUUUUGACAAGUAAUCAUAGGCGGAGGUUUGAAUUUUUAUUAAUUAAAUGCGAAACUACAAUUUUAUAUUAUUUCAUUUAUUCAUCAAAAUUAGCUUAAACUCAAACAAAAUUAGUAUUACUGAAUAGGUAUUUUCAAUACCUUUCAAACCAGGUAUCACUUGCCAUAAGGUCCCAUUUAAAAUUAUCUGUCAUGGCGGCGCUGCAACGUCAUCUGUCACUAUUACGUCACCUGUCAUGACUAGUUAAGACGCCUACAUCCGUUUAUUUCCUCCCUCUAAAUUUCACUAUUAUAAGUAUAACCGUUCAAAAGAUACGAGGGGGGGUACGGACUUUUGACUAGCAGUGUAUAUAUAAGUAAAAGCUAUUUUGAUAUUCUUUAGUAUAUUUAUUGUAAAUAUAUUUGUCAAUAGUA